CGAAAUGUUAUUUGUCUACUUUUUCAUGGUUUAUUAUUAAUAUUUUUUUGCAGGAAAGAAGAGAAUAUCUUGUCCAACUUCGUGCUGAAUCUCAGAGACUGCUCUGAGGUAUUAUGAACAAUCAAGAAACUAUACAUGUUGCGUUUCAACCAGCACCGAUUGUUCAAAAGCCCAUAUCAUCAGUUUUAGAGAAGAUUCGGUGAAGGAGGCUUGAGGUUG